GACGAACGCUGGCGGCGUGCUUAACACAUGCAAGUCGAACGGAAAGGCCCUGCUUUUGUGGGGUGCUCGAGUGGCGUACGGGUGAGUAACACGUGAGUAACCUGCCCUUGACUUUGGGAUAACCUCAGGAAACUGGGGCUAAUACCGGAUAGGAGCUCCUGCUGCAUGGUGGGGGUUGGAAAGUUUCGGCGGUUGGGGAUGGACUCGCGGCUUAUCAGCUUGUUGGUGGGGUAGUGGCUUACCAAGGCUUUGACGGGUAGCCGGCCUGAGAGGGUGACCGGCCACAUUGGGACUGAGACACGGCCCAGACUCCUACGGGAGGCAGCAGUGGGGAAUAUUGCACAAUGGGCGGAAGCCUGAUGCAGCAACGCCGCGUGCGGGAUGACGGCCUUCGGGUUGUAAACCGCUUUCGCCUGUGACGAAGCGUGAGUGACGGUAAUGGGUAAAGAAGCACCGGCUAACUACGUGCCAGCAGCCGCGGUGAUACGUAGGGUGCGAGCGUUGUCCGGAUUUAUUGGGCGUAAAGGGCUCGUAGGUGGUUGAUCGCGUCGGAAGUGUAAUCUUGGGGCUUAACCCUGAGCGUGCUUUCGAUACGGGUUGACUUGAGGAAGGUAGGGGAGAAUGGAAUUCCUGGUGGAGCGGUGGAAUGCGCAGAUAUCAGGAGGAACACCAGUGGCGAAGGCGGUUCUCUGGGCCUUUCCUGACGCUGAGGAGCGAAAGCGUGGGGAGCGAACAGGCUUAGAUACCCUGGUAGUCCACGCUGUAAACGGUGGGUACUAGGUGUGGGGUCCAUUCCACGGGUUCCGUGCCGUAGCUAACGCUUUAAGUACCCCGCCUGGGGAGUACGGCCGCAAGGCUAAAACUCAAAGGAAUUGACGGGGCCCCGCACAAGCGGCGGAGCAUGCGGAUUAAUUCGAUGCAACGCGUAGAACCUUACCUGGGUUUGACAUGGAUCGGGAGUGCUCAGAGAUGGGUGUGCCUCUUUUGGGGUCGGUUCACAGGUGGUGCAUGGCUGUCGUCAGCUCGUGUCGUGAGAUGUUGGGUUAAGUCCCGCAACGAGCGCAACCCUUGUUCACUGUUGCCAGCACGUUAUGGUGGGGACUCAGUGGAGACCGCCGGGGUCAACUCGGAGGAAGGUGGGGAUGACGUCAAGUCAUCAUGCCCCUUAUGUCCAGGGCUUCACGCAUGCUACAAUGGCUGGUACAGAGAGUGGCGAGCCUGUGAGGGUGAGCGAAUCUCGGAAAGCCGGUCUCAGUUCGGAUUGGGGUCUGCAACUCGACCUCAUGAAGUCGGAGUCGCUAGUAAUCGCAGAUCAGCAACGCUGCGGUGAAUACGUUCCCGGG
rnacentral:rRNA from 1 species